AACGAACGCUGGCGGCAGGCUUCAUACAUGCAAGUCGGACGGCAAGCUCCCUUCGGGGAGCCUAGAGUGGCGAACGGGUGCGUACAAGGUGGACAACCUGCCCUUCGGUGGGGGAUAACGGCUGGAAACGGCCGCUAAUACCGCAUGCGAUCCCGCGGCGUCGGUCGUCGGGAGGAAAGGGGCCGCAAGGCCCCGCCGGAGGAUGGGUCCGCCCCCCAUUAGCUAGUUGGCGGGAUAACAGCCCCCCAAGGCGACGAUGGGUAGCCGAGCUGAGAGGUUGGCCGGCCACACUGGGACUGAGACACGGCCCAGACACCUACGGGUGGCAGCAGUAGGGAAUCUUGGACAAUGGGCGCAAGCCUGAUCCAGCCAUGCCGCGUGGGCGAGGAAGGUCUUCGGACUGUAAAGCCCUUUUCUUCGGGAAGAACCGCCCCGGGAGGCAAUGCCCGGGGCCUGACGGUACCGGAGGAAUAAGCAACGGCUAACUCCGUG
rnacentral:rRNA from 1 species